GGUAGAAGUUGUAAAAGGAAUUGAGACAAGUAGUUUUCAUGCUGAUUGGAAAGGCAAAAAAGAACCACAGAAGCCCUGGCCACGAGAGGCCAAUGCCCAGGCUCCGCCCGGGACACACUGCCAGCUUCUCCUCAGCACCUCCCGGGCCGCUCGUCCUGACUGCAGCGCGUGAUCGGCAGGGGCCGAGCCAGGUGGAAAGGGCUCUGCGCUCGGGUUAUGGUUCCCAUCCCGUCCUGAUCCUCAGAGCCUCGGGAUCGCGGGGUCUGGACGGAAGGCUUUGGAGUCAGCCUGAUUCUGGCCGGAGAGAAGCCCCGCCGCCUCCCGCCGCCGCCCGCCCCCACCCCCAUUCUUCUUUUCUGCUCUCUCCUUGCCCUCCCGGAGCCCCGGCUCCCUUUCCAAGGCCAGGCCGGCUCCUCGGCUGUACGCAUCAGCCGCUGUCUGUGAGGCCGGGCCGUCCGCGUCCUCCUCGGGGGCCUCGGACUGGACCCGCCUUCGCGGUUCUCCAUCUCCGGCUCCGCGGCUGGGGUGCAGCCUCUGCCCGCGGCGGCCCUCGCACCCACCUCCCCGGGCGGGCGCGGGCCUGCCUCGCAGCUGUGACUCCCGCGCUGAGGGCUGCAGCCCGGACCCUGCUCUCC
rnacentral:lncRNA from 1 species